rnacentral:rRNA from 1 species
CCUACGGGGGGCUGCAGUGGGGAAUUUUGGACAAUGGGGGCAACCCUGAUCCAGCCAUGCCGCGUGAGUGAAGAAGGCCUUCGGGUUGUAAAGCUCUUUCGGCCGGGAAGAAAUCGCUCAAGCUAAUACCUUGGGUGGAUGACGGUACCGGAAGAAGAAGCACCGGCUAACUACGUGCCAGCAGCCGCGGUAAUACGUAGGGUGCGAGCGUUAAUCGGAAUUACUGGGCGUAAGGCGUGCGCAGGCGGCGAAAGCCCCGGGGCUAAGCUUGGAACCGCGUUUGGGAAUGUGGUGGUCGAGUGCGGCAGAGGGGGGUGGAAUUCCACGUGUAGCAGUGAAAUGCGUAGAGAUGUGGAGGAACACCGAUGGCGAAGGCAGCCCCCUGGGUCGACACUGACGCUCAUGCACGAAAGCGUGGGGAGCAAACAGGAUUAGAUACCCUUGUAGUC